rnacentral:rRNA from 1 species
UACGUAGGGGGCUAGCGUUGUCCGGAAUCAUUGGGCGUAAAGCGCGUGUAGGCGGUCCGGUAAGUCCGCUGUGAAAGUCGAGGGCUCAACCCUCGAAUGCCGGUGGAUACUGUCGGGCUUGAGUACGGGAGAGGCGAGUGGAAUUCCUGGUGUAGCGGUGAAAUGCGCAGAUAUCAGGAGGAACACCGGUGGCGAAGGCGGGUCUCUGGGCCGAUACUGACGCUGAGGAGCGAAAGCGUGGGGAGCAAACAGG